rnacentral:rRNA from 1 species
GUGGGGAAUAUUGGACAAUGGGCGCAAGCCUGAUCCAGCCAUGCCGCGUGAGUGAUGAAGGCCCUAGGGUUGUAAAGCUCUUUCACCGGAGAAGAUAAUGACGGUAUCCGGAGAAGAAGCCCCGGCUAACUUCGUGCCAGCAGCCGCGGUAAUACGAAGGGGGCUAGCGUUGUUCGGAAUUACUGGGCGUAAAGCGCACGUAGGCGGACAUUUAAGUCAGGGGUGAAAUCCCGGAGCUCAACUCCGGAACUGCCUUUGGUACUUGGUGUCUGGAGUAUGGAAGAGGUGAGUGGAAUUCCGAGUGUAGAGGUGAAAUUCGUAUAUAUUCGGAGGAACACCAGUGGCGAAGGCGGCUCACUGGUCCAUUACUGACGCUGAGGUGCGAAAGCGUGGGGAGCAAACAGGAUUAGAUACCCUUGUAGUCC